rnacentral:rRNA from 1 species
GUGUUAAAGUAGCAUAAUCAAUUGUCCUCUUAUUAGGGUCUGGAAUGAACGGGAGAAUUACUGAUAAAUUAUAAAUUUUAAAAAAUAAAAAAUUAAAUUUUAAUUAAAAAUGUUUAAAUUAGAUAAAGGGACGAGAAGACCCUAGGAUCUUUACAACAGAUUAAGUUUAACUGUUUAAUUGGGGAAAUUAGAAAAAUAAACUUUUCUAGCUUUAAACACUUUAAGUGUUUUUUUAAGAUGAAAAUAAAUUAAAAUAAAAUUACCCUAGGGAUAACAGCGCUAUAACAAGUUAGGUGACCAAAGUUUAAUUUGUGAUUGCGACCUCGAUGUUGAAUUAA